rnacentral:rRNA from 1 species
GACGAACGCUGGCGGCGUGCUUAACACAUGCAAGUCGAACGAGUGGCGAACGGGUGAGUAAUACGUGGGAACCUGCCCUCCUUUUUGGGAUAAGCCUUGGAAACGGGGUCUAAUACCGAAUACGGGGUAUGGGCUCGCGGCCUAUCAGCUAGUUGGUGGGGUAAAGGCCUACCAAGGCGACGAUCCGUAACUGGUCUGAGAGGAUGGUCGGUCCAGCUGGAAUUGAAACACGGUCCAGAUUCCUACGGGAGGCAGCAGUGGGGAAUAUUGCACAUUAGGCGCAAGCCUGAUGCAGCCAGGCCGCGUGUGUGAAGAAGGUCUUCGGGUUGUAAAGUACUUUCAGCGGGGAGGCGUUACCCGCAGAAGAAGCACCGGCUAACUCCGUGCCAGCAGCCGCGGUAAUUC